UACGUAGGUGACAAGCGUUGUCCGGAUUUACUGGGCGUAAAGAGCGCGCAGGCGGUCGUUCAAGUCGAGUGUGAAAGCCCCCGGCUCAACUGGGGAGGGUCACUCGAUACUGAUCGACUUGAAGGCAGGAGAGGGAAGUGGAAUUCCCGGUGUAGUGGUGAAAUGCGUAGCUAUCGGGAGGAACACCAGUGGCGAAGGCGGCGUUCUGGACUGCAACUGACGCUGAGGAGCGAAAGCGUGGGGAGCAAACAGG
rnacentral:rRNA from 1 species